AAUUAGGUUCUCACAAUGAUGAUAAAGAAGGUGAUGAUUCAUGGAAGAACAAGUCACCAGCACCCAAGAAUCCAAAGGAACAAAGCAGCAAUGGUCGAUUGUUGCAGGACAACAGAUACUUCUUCUUUAGCAAGAAGACGAAAGGUACUUGCAUAGAAAUGUGAUAAGAUUCUUCCGUGAUCAGUAUAGACUUGUCUUCGACGGAGAAAGGAAGUGGAAGAAAUAUUAGGACACAAACACAGUCAUGGAAUAUUGAAUCUGAAGGUGGCUUGACCUUCAUGAUGAAUGUGGAACAGUGUACUGCGCA
rnacentral:lncRNA from 1 species